rnacentral:lncRNA from 1 species
GUCUGCCCUCCUCAGCAGGGACUCCAGAGAAACAUGGGAACCUCUAAGUCUCGAGUAGGCUGGUUGUUCAUGUAUGUGUCGAGCCACUUCCUGUCCUGUGCAGUCUCUAGAGACUUUUAAGCUGCUGAAUAUAUGUCAGGACCGGUCUGGCUUCUUCCUGUAUUCCCAUCUCUUUCUAGACUUGCUACAUCCCUCAGUCUGCUGAAUCAGGAAGACCGUACCCUGUUAGAUAUGCCGUCCGUGGACAUUAUGAUCAAUGUUUACACGUUUGUGACCGUCCCAGUCAUCCUGUGGCCUGCAGUCCUUAAGCAACUCCACAUUCGGAGGACUGCAACUGCUGCACGCUCUCCAUGUUAGCUGCCACAUGCAAGGCUGCCCCACUGAGGAGAAUGCUCUGUACAAGUCAUAUUUUGAGUAAUUAAAUUUUACAAAUCUGAAAAUAUUACCAAACGACCAAUACAUUAGAGAUAGACAAUGUAUUUGCUUAAUUGAUACUUUAAAAAAAAAUUGGAUGCCCCAAAUAUUUUCAGUGUUUCUAAUGAGCUAUUCUUUUUCUUUCAGUUUUAUAAUUCCUUGAGACAAAAAUACAAAUAUGCUAGUACAGAGAGAGCGUGAAGACCACUGCAGUAUUUUUUGUCUGUUUGUUUGUUUGGUUGGUUUUUCGAGACAGAGUUUCUCUGUGUAGCCCUGGCUGUCCUGGAACUCACUCUGUAAACCAGGCUGGCCUCGAACUCAGAAAUCCGCCUGCCUCUGCCUCCCGAGUGCUGGGACUAAAGGCGUGCGCCACCACGCCCGGCUGAGCGUGAAGAACAAGAGUAGAGAGGCUUUAGCAGUCCUUUCACCUUUUCACAAUAUCUUACAUAUACACAACAAAUACCUAAGACCCCAGGACAACCUCUGUCUGAGUGCUACCCAAGGCUGCUAGGAAGGGUGUGAUUCUGGGCGUGAUUCCUAGCAAUCUCUGGAGGUGUCAAUCACUUAGCUUCACAAAGGUUUGCUACCACUAGAGGGAGUUGUUGAUAAAGUCAGAGGGUGACCUUAAGUUGGAGGGGAGGGAGGGACGCAGCUAGGCAGUGGUGCUGAUGUGUGUGGCUGGUUUUCUGCUGUGUGAUGUUCCCAGGUACUAGCUCUCAUUCCUCCCUUAAAACAUUGCCCUCCCCAGCACACGGACCCUGUCUUCUUAUCUCGUCCCAGGGCCCUAUUAGCAUGCUACUGUUUGUAAUUUCUCUAGAAACUCACUUUGUGUUGUAAUAAGCAAUCAUCUUGGCAUAAUAUUUAUUAAUGGGGCUGUUUUCAUAUAAAGGAACUGCCAGUUUAUAUCCUAAUACUUGUGCUUGGUUUGCUUUUAUAAUGAAGCCAUAAAGACUUACUUGUUCUAUUCUUCUGGUUUACGGAAGAUAUUAACAAGCAGCAGAGAAGAGGUGCUGGCUUGUCCUCGCAUCCGAGCUAAUGUUGUCUGUAUUGUCUUAUUAGAACACCUGGAGAGUGCGAACUCUAACUCAGGUAUACCAGCUGCACAGAGAGGUGAGUUUGUCUGCCUAAGCACACAGUCACUGUAAGGUGUGAGGUUAUAGAUGAGGAGACAUGCAGUUAGAGCCUAGGAAUGCACUGGACAGUGGAGUAGAGCCCAGGACAGGCUGUGUUGUAUUUAGAAUGUUUACAAAUUCAAAAGUAUUUACUUUGUUAUUGCUACUUUUUACUAUGUAAACGUUUUUGAGUUUCUAAAGGUUUUGUUCUUUAGCCUUUUACCAUCAGCAGCAAUGUAAAUAUUACUGUUGCCAGAAGGGGUGCUAGCUGCUCCCCUCCUUCUUGUCAGAGGCCUUGGGGCCAGGAGUCAGACCUGGAAGCGGAACGUAGCCAGCAGUGCCCCUCUGGUUUCUUGCUGUUUCCAGAGUUGGGUUAUUGAUGACCCUUUAGUAAGAGACAGGUCAGUGGUGGGGUGGGUUUCUUUUUCUUUUUUUUUUUUCUUCUGUUUUUUGUUUUUGGUUUUUCCCCUUCAAACACUUUCAGUACUUUAUUAUUUUUCAGUUUUGAAUUUCAGCUAAAAGUAGGGAAUGGGGUUGCUCAUAAUGGGUUGAUUAUGAAUUGAAAAUUAAUUAAAUAAAUUAAUAUAAAUUAAGUAAAUUAAAAUCAAAUAGAAGUAACUAAAUUCUCAUAGUGAGGAGAGUGGGAACAACCGAGCAGGCUGAGUCCUCUGCUCUGCAUCAGCCGGGCUGUACUUGUCCCAGACUCCGUGCCCAGCGCUCUGCCAACCCUUACUGGGUUUGGACACUUGGCUGUCUAAAGCUUGACUGUGCACCACCUCCUGUCUGUGAGCUACAGUGAAGUUAAGUUACGUCAUCAGAGCAGCAUUGUGGCGAGUACGGCACAUCAUCCAUAUUUUUCUUUGUUUUCUUUGUUUCCUGUCUGUGUUUCCAGCAACGUCAGUUGAUUACAGUUCCUUUGCAGACAGAUGCAGCAGCUGGAUAGAGCUCAUUAGACUGAAAGCUCAGACCAUAAGGCGCGGAUCAAUUAAGACAAGUAGGCGGAUGUUUCUACCACGUUCUGAUGACCUGAGAAGCAUACCCCUGACUUCGCAGUGGUGAAGGCUAGACCUUACUGCCUAGUAACGACACUGCUGAUCAGUCCUGUGUUUGAAUGUGGAAGCUGCAGGUGCUUGGUCAUGUGUGAGGAGCUGUCACAGAGCCUUUCGGUGGCUACUUUUAGCUGUAGAAUGGUCUUUUAAAUUUUAUUUUUUAUGAAAGUACACAGAUGCAUAUUACAUCCCUGUCUAGGAGGACUCGGCCAGCUUUCUUGUUGAAGAGACACUCUUCAGGACCCAGUGAACUGCUGACAGCAAGGCUGUCAGCUUCCGCAUUCUGAGGGACAGGGACCAAGUAUGUACAGAGAAAAAGUAGACAGUGUAUCUAUCUUACUGCUAAGCCAGAGAGAGAUGCUUUAUAACCUGUGUUACGGCAGAUUUUGAGGAAACCAUAUUUGAGUGAGUUCAUAUU